AGAUUGAACGCUGGCGGCAUGCCUUACACAUGCAAGUCGAACGGUAACGCGGGGCAACCUGGCGACGAGUGGCGAACGGGUGAGUAAUGCAUCGGAACGUGCCCAGUAGUGGGGGAUAGCUCGGCGAAAGCCGGAUUAAUACCGCAUACGACCUAAGGGUGAAAGCGGGGGACCGUAAGGCCUCGCGCUAUUGGAGCGGCCGAUGUCAGAUUAGGUUGUUGGUGGGGUAAAAGCCUACCAAGCCGACGAUCUGUAGCUGGUCUGAGAGGACGACCGAGACCACACCUGGGACUGAGACACGGCCCAGACUCCUACGGAGGCAGCAGUGGGGAAUUUGGACAAUGGGGGCAACCCUGAUCCAGCCAUGCCGCGUGCGGGAAGAAGGCCUCGGGUUGUAAACCGCUUUGUCAGGAAGAAACGCUCUGGUUAAUACCCGGGUAAUACGUACGGACCGUU
rnacentral:rRNA from 1 species